ensembl:lncRNA
UAUUUUCUCUAGGGAGCGUCUGAAGACUUGAUCAUUGUGGUUAGAUUCUUGCUCUUUGAGAGAGAAGUGUGUUUCUAGAGCUUGCUGGCAUGUUCGUGGGAUUUAAUUUGUGUGCUUGGUGGAGUUUCCUGACUGGACGGAAUUCCUAAGCAUAAGCCCAACUGUCUUCACCACUUUGACCAUGAGCCAGAAUAGCAAACUAGCAAACAUAAGGACUUGCAACUACAUCAAUACCUUGUGUUUGGUUGUAGACGUGAAAUCUCUGCAAAGUGAAAAAGCUGUGUUUAUGCUUGGGUAGCAAACGGAAAUAUAACACUUCAGCAUCUGUAAUAUAGCAUCUUUAUCAAAGAAGCGAGUACUUUCCUAAUGUUUUCUAUUGACGUGUUUUCAUGCAGAUUGCAAUGUGAGAGUUCACAAGAGUUGUAGAGAAAACAUCCCAGUUUGUCCCAAAAGCAGAAUGAAGGUAUGAAUAUUUUUUUUUAUUCUAAAAUGUACCAUAUUCUUUCAGUUAGACAUCAAGAAAAGUGUUUUCCUUGUCUUCUGUUUAAACUCUCUUCCUUAUUUCUGUUUCAUAAACAACAGUUUACUGUACCAGAGUCCACCAAUAUGCCUGCCGUCACUCUACGAACAAAAUCGUCCACAAUGCGGGAUCGGCCCUGGUCUGCUAUCUUCUCUCCAGAGGAACAUUCUGUGAUUGUCCCGUCCAGACGAGCCACCAGUAUUAUGCCCUUCCACAGCAGCAACCUCUCGAAAAGCAUGUCCAUCAACAAUAUUGCAAUGUUUGACGAUAUGCCUCUGAGAGGCAUGCGGUAUCUGUCUCAAUCCACAGACUCUCUCCACAAACCCAUCAAGGUUACAGCGUCCAAUGAGUCUCUAGAUGAAGGUAAGCAGCCUUAUUUCUUUUCCCCAGUAUAAUACCAGAUGCAAUUUCUUGCCUUCUCAGAAGCUUCAGAUAGCUUUCAAGCUGAGAUCUUUUAGGGGAGAGUGAAUAAAUAAUUAAGUCAGAGCUGUGGCUUCA